rnacentral:rRNA from 1 species
GUACACAAAAAUGCACAUGCUGUGAGCUCGAUGAGUAGGGCGGGACACGUGGUAUCCUGUCUGAAUAUGGGGGGACCAUCCUCCAAGGCUAAAUACUCCUGACUGACCGAUAGUGAACCAGUACCGUGAGGGAAAGGCGAAAAGAACCCCGGCGAGGGGAGUGAAAAAGAACCUGAAACCGUGUACGUACAAGCAGUGGGAGCACGCUUAGGCGUGUGACUGCGUACCUUUUGUAUAAUGGGUCAGCGACUUAUAUUCUGUAGCAAGGUUAACCGAAUAGGGGAGCCGAAGGGAAACCGAGUCUUAACUGGGCGUUAAGUUGCAGGGUAUAGACCCGAAACCCGGUGAUCUAGCCAUGGGCAGGUUGAAGGUUGGGUAACACUAACUGGAGGACCGAACCGACUAAUGU